AAUAUUGGACAAUGGGCGCAAGCCAGAUCCAGCAAUACCGCGUGUGUGAAGAAGGCCUUAGGGUUGUAAAGCACUUUCAAUGGGGAGGAAAACCUGCCGGUCUAUACCCAGUAGCUU
rnacentral:rRNA from 1 species